rnacentral:rRNA from 1 species
UACGUAGAGUGCGAGCGUUAAUCGGAAUUACUGGGCGUAAAGCGUGCGCAGGCGGUUUUGUAAGCCAGAUGUGAAAUCCCCGGGCUCAACCUGGGAAUGGCAUUUGGGACUGCAAGGCUGGAGUGUGGCAGAGGGGACUAGAAUUCCUGGUGUAGCAGUGAAAUGCGUAGAUAUCAGGAGGAAUACCGAUGGCGAAGGUAGGUCCCGGGGCUAACAAUGACUGUCAUGCACGAAAGCGUGGGGAGCAAACAGG